GAUGGCGGACAGUCACAGACAAUUUGAGGGUGCACCACUUCAGCUUCAAGGGAAUGACUGUGGAAUAUUCAUGUUAAUGUUAGACAUGCCUGAAUCAGGAGGUGGUGGUGCCAUCAGUUACUACAGGCAUUUCCUCUGGCAAGGUAUGAUAUUGCUAACUAUACUUUGAAUGAACAUAUUCAUUGUGUGCAUUUCUCAGUAUACAGGUCAUUUGUAAUAAAUAAUGCACAGUGGAAUAGAGUGUACUGUUUUGUCACUUUUUCUAUAAAGCCAACAGUCAGUCACCAAACAAAUGA